rnacentral:rRNA from 1 species
UACGAAGGGGGCUAGCGUUGCUCGGAAUCACUGGGCUUAAAGCGUGUGUAGGCGGAUCGUUAAGUACCUUGUGAAAUCCCACGGCUCAACCGUGGAACUGCUGGGUAUACUGGCGAUCUUGAGCCACCUAGGGGCGAGCGGAACAAGCGGUGGAGCGGUGAAAUGCGUAGAUAUCGCUUGGAACGCCGACGGUGAAAACAGCUCGCUGGGGGUGUGCUGACGCUGAGACACGAAAGCCAGGGGAGCGAACGGG